rnacentral:piRNA from 1 species
UAGCCCACGAAAUGAUCUGCAACUGUUAAU